rnacentral:lncRNA from 1 species
UCAAACUCUUGCUUUUCACUCAUUUAAUGUGAUUUGUCUUUCUAUAGCAUAUGCUUUCACCAAGAAAAAAUACGGAACUAAGUGUAGUUAAUUAGAUUACUAAACGUUUCCACAGUCUCUUAAUCAGUGCAACUUGAAAACAUAUUGGUUCUGGUCAAAAUCUCAGCCUAAGGCUAACAACUAGAAACAGUGAAUGGUGCCUAGCCUUAUAUAAUGAAUGUAUCAUUAUCUUAGUUCCCUUUAACUUUGUGUUAUGAUCAUACCAAGAUAGAAUCUCUUCAUUGUCUCCAUUAUUCAUCUUAAACGUUGAAAUUGAGACUCGAGACUAUUCAUUUGUUAAAUUUUUUCCUGAAAUAAGGAAUAUUUGUGCAAUAGGUGAAAUCACUCUAAUUUCUGCUUUAUGACUUGCUAAUUUCAGUUUAUUUUGUUGAAUGUGGUUCACUUGCUUUUUGAAGGUACCCUGAACCCUCUCCAUAUAUUGUUUGUUUGAAAUGGAAAAGGUUGGGCUUGGGACUACAACUCCUUCUCAGUUGGAACAAUGAAUUCAGGUGUACUUGUGAUGUCUCCUUCGAUACAAACAUUUGUUUUGGUUAUAUGUUCUCUAAAAGUAUUUAAAUAUGAAUAGUUCUAAUACACAAUGUAUUUAGGUAUUUUGCACAUAUUAUAGAUUCAAGUAUCUAUUGAGCACAUUGAUGGCUAAAUAAAUAGAGAUGAUAUUUAAGGAUUGUUUAGUAAAAGGUAUUAGAGAAAAUAGUGCAUGUAUUAGCUUUGGUACUAUUUAAUACUUUGUAUGGUAGUGUUUGUUUGAUAUCACAUUGUGCAGAUCCUAAAUAAAGAAUCAUUCCCUUUACAAAUGUACUUCAGUUUCUAUAUUCAGAGUCGAUCAAUAAUGAAACCACCUUUGGCACAAAUUUUGAUUACUUUCAAGAUGAAAAGGAGAUAAGAGUGUUGCAAGUUAAUUUGCCCAUCAUAUGACAUGGACUUGAGACUAAAAUUGUUUCCUCUAUCUGGUGUAACAAUAAUUUCAUGGAGAAGAUCAUUUUUGUUCUCUUUAAUGUGUUAUUAGUUGCUAAUUAAACCUUUGCCUUGGAUAUCUACUUAAUUGAGGAAAUAAGAUGUCAUAGUUUAUUUCAUAACAAUAUUUCUUAAAUACAUGGUACUUCCAGGAAUACAUGUUUGGUGCGCAAGACACUUCGAUCUUGGAGUUGAGUAUGAAAGUGAAAGUUAACAAUAUUUGGACUGUCGAGGUUCGCACUUCCCAGUGGCUGUUUUAAUAUUGCUUCUAAAAAUUUUGUACAUUUCAUUCUGAUUCUUCUAUGUGCAUAUUUAAUGAAGAGAACUACAAGGGAGUGAAAGUUGCAAGUGCUAAUGAUAGUGCUAAAAUCAUUGAGAAGAUUCACUGUAGCAAAGGCAGAACAGAAAUUGUGACUCUAUGUUUCACCAUGAUGAGGAAAUAGAAACCACGAGUAUCAUUGAUGUUAGAUUGUUUCUUCUAUGUUUCACGAUUGGUGAGGAAAUAGAAACCACGAGUAUUGUUGAUGUUAGAUUGUUCUUUUAUUAAUCUAAAUCUAAAGACUUCAAUUUUCUUCACCUUUUUAUUUAUUUAUGGAGAACUUAUAUUUCAUAUUUGGAUGAGACUUUAGUACUUUUUUAUUUGGUGACUUGUUCCUGAAUAUUUUGGCAGCAGCCGUUUUUCUUUCUAAGCAUAUUCAGAAAAUUUACACUUUUAAGUUUGAUCAUUUCCUGCCAUAGUUCAUCUAAUUGAGUUGGAAAAUGACUAUUCUCUUAGCUUCUCAUAUCAUAGUAUAUUUGAUCAAAGAUAACUGCUUCUUAUACAUGUAUGGCUGAGUUUAUCCAAUAAUUUGAAUUUUCUUUGCAUUAUUUCAUCUUUUUGAAUAAAAAAUUCAAAUAUGCACCAACUUACAUGUUCACGGGCCAUACCAAUCUAGUAUAUAUAUAGACAAUAGAAAAUAUUCCUGUCAUUCUAAAAAUAGUUGUUUUAAUUUACUUGUCCAAUUUAUAAAAUUACAAGAAUUUUUAAUAAUUUUUUCUAUCCUGGAUAUUAAAUAACUACACAAAAUAGUACUCUAGUAGUCAAAUUUAAAGUUUCAAAGCAUUAUUAAUAAUGUUAGUUUAGUAAAAAUACGCAUCAAAAUAACUCUUUUAAAGAGUGACAUAUCAAGAAGGGUCAAGUAAUAUAAAAUGCAUGGAGUAAGAAAGUGGAGAAAGACAAAUAUUCGUAUACGUACAUAUACCCACGCUUAAUGCAUAUCAUAUUGAAAUAACAGUCAUAAAGAUAAUGUUAAAUUUUGUGACAAAUUCUUACAAAUAUUAUUAUUAUACUUAUAAGAACAUUAAAAAAUAUUAUAAACACCUAGAUUUAAAAUAAAUAAUAAAUAAUAUAAAGAGAUAAUAUAUAUAUAUAUAUAUAUAUAUAUAUAUUUCUAUUCCAUUUUUUCCUAUACUGUAGUCGUUUAGACUAUUGAGGGAUAGAUUUCCUAGGAUUAUAUAAUAGAGUAAAAUGAGCAAUGCAUAGAAUAAAGAGGGGAGUUUGAUUAUGAUUCAAAAUUGAGAGGAGAGUUUAAUUUUUGAAGUGAAAUUGGAGAUGAAAAAUAAUAUAUAUAUAUAUAUAUAGUUUGAACAUGGAUAAAUAUGACUUUACUAAGGUACUUUUCAAAUGUGCUAUAUAUACGCAGAUAAUAUUAAAUCAAUAUUAUUGAUCAUUUCAUAUUGGAAUAUCUCAUUUGAGCAUAUGUUAAAAUCAUAUAACCUUUUUAAAAAUGCAAUUAUUAUACUAUCUCUCAAUAAAAUGUCGAAAAAAAUGUCUCAAGUCUACCCCUACACCCCACUCCCCUCAUUUCAAAAAAUAUAAUAUUCUACUCUCCCCAUACCUCCAUCACCAUCUCAUGACCCUAAUAUGCCGACCUCUAAUCCAAUUUAUACGAAAAAAAUAUUCAUGUAAUUGCAAAAAAAGUUGUAUUCAAUUAAAUUAUAUUAUUCACAUCUAAAGAUAUUAUAUUGUUAAUAUCCAACCCCCCCACCGUCCCUGCCUCUAACCAAAAUUCAUAUGAUCAAGUGAAAAUAAUUUCUUCCAUCUCUUCCGAUUAAAAUUUAUAAAUAAUAACAUAUGUAUUAUCUAAUUACUUCAUUGUAAUCUAAAAAAAUAGUCUCCAAUACCCCAUUUACGAUUUUCUUUACUAUAUUUUAAUUACUUUACUUUUCUAUAAUUUAACUUUGAAUUAAAUUAUUUUUUUAUGUUCAAAGAGUAAGCAGUUGUGUUGUGGACAUAUGAUAACUAGUAACUACUCUAAAAAAAAACAUAAACGUGACUUUACAGGUUGCCAUGGAUAUAAAAAAAAAAAAAGUAGGAAAAGGAGAAUAAAAUAAAUGAACAAAAAACACGUAUAAUGCACAUGUAUAACACUAAUGUACAUAAAUCUAGAAUUGAUUUGGGAAGAGAGGUAUUCAUUUCACCUCAAACUAGGAUAAGUAGGAAAGUUUAAGUGUGUAAUUAUGAUAGUGGGACUAGGUUGAGUGUAUUUUCUUUAGUAUAAAAUAGCAAGUUGAUAAAACAUUUAUCCAAAUAUUCAAAUGAUGUAGCUAGCACACCUUUGUCAUAAAAAAAUACAACCCAUAAAUUUGGUUAUACAUACAUAAUUAAAAUGAGCCAAGCCCUAACAUUCCUUUCAAUAUUAAGCUUUCACCAUCUUGAUCAAAUUAUACUAUCAACACCAUCAGCAAAAGAAGGAAGAAGGAAUCUAACUAAAUUAUAGCCGAUUGAUUAGGUUGAGAAAAAGGACGAUCCUCCGUUUUAUUAGCAACUAUGUUUCUCCUCCGGAGAAGGUUAAUUUAUUGUCUGAUUUGAAGCUAUGAACUUGAAGGUUCACAAUAAUCAAGCUUCAAGUUUAAGAUAUGCCUUUAUGAUUCCCAUCAUCUCACUUCCGGGAAACCGACCAAGACAACCUCUAGCAGCUGCUAUUUCAUUGAACUUGUCAACCAAAUCACCAGCAAAAAACUGAAGCUUGCUAUUUUUGUCUUCUUCAAUCCUUGUACCAGUAUCUACGUCUUCACCAGCUUGGACGGAUGGAAGCGGAAAUGGAUCAAGGGAAAUACCUGAUAGGACAGAUUCUCCACCCAAAGCACUCACAAAGUCUUUUAAACUACAUAAUGCAAAUGGCACUGGUUCAAAGCUGUGAUCUCCAUAUUCUACCGGUGUGGAGUGGUCUCCAGUGAUACAAAGGUAAUAGCUGAAUUUCCCAGUUGAUUCCGCCUCCCAAAGAAGCCUAGCUAAUUGACCUAUAGCACAAUCGACAGCUUCCAGUCCCUUCACUUUGAACACACUUGCUUUAUCAUGACCUGCAUCGUCAAUUGCCUGCAAAUCCAACAAUGAACAUAUAACAGGAGGAAGUAGAAAAACGGAGUUGAUGUAAAACAGCAUAAGAAAAUUACACCAAACUUUCUAAAACAAUCAAAUGUCAUUCCACGAUUCUUCUGUAUGCUUUUGUUACUCUUAAGUCUAAGAAAAUAUGACCAAUGGAUAGAUCUUUCCCAAAUGAAACUUUUCUAACCAGCCUGACAAGCACCUCCGUAUUUCUAUAAACACAUGCAUGAUCUUAUCAGAAGCUUUCAACCUGACCCCCAUGAGCUGUUAUUUGAAAAUUGAUUGUCAACAAUUGAAGCAUCAUAAGAAAAAGCUAAAUUGAUUUUGAUGUAAAACCUUAAUGUGGAGGAACCCAAAAUCAUAGCCAUCAAAUCGGCCAGGCUUGUGCUCAUCUUCCCCGGGAACAAAAACAUUGGGACAAGAUUGCAGAGGUGCUGAGAGUGCCCUGGCUAUGGCAGUUGCUUUUGAUGUUAAUAAUGUCCUAUAGUCUCCUGUCGCUCCAGGAGCUUCCAGAAUAUCAAUCCCGAGUGACAAACCCAAGCCAGCAAUAAUCUUGGUAGGAGCUACCAUGCACGGCCAGAGACCAUGUAUCUUUUCAAAUGGAGCAACCUACAGCAUAGAACAAAUCAGAACUGAGAAAUAAGGUUACAACCAGAAGAAAAUGACUUUCUUCUUUCUAGCAUGUCCUAAGCUGAAUUGGCUAGUGGAAAAGUUCCACAUUAUUAUCAUAACAAUACACACUGACCAUGCAAAACACCGGGAAAAAAAAAACUCACACAGAGACACUUAAAAUACACACUCUGCAUACCUCAAUUCUAAUGCCGCAUCCUCGUAAAAGAACCAGAUUUGCUACAUUCUUUCCUUCUGCUGCCCGUUUUGCAUUCAAUGGAUGGGCAAGCAAAAUGCGCGAGAUUUCUUUAGACAGUUCAUUGACAACUGCAGCUGUGUGCUUUGCUUCAUCUGUAUCAUCAAGAGGGUUCGCUUGUAAAAGUAAGCGGUUGUCUUUCAAUGGGUCAGUUCCCGAUAUAUUUCCACUUAAUUUUGGUCCCUUGACAACCACUCCACAUCUAUGCUCCGUAGCAUACCUAAAAUAAACAUGUAUAUUGCUCUUUUUCUUCAUUAAUAGAUAUUGUGUACAACUCAUAUUCCAGAUGCAGUAGCAAAGAGCAACUUAUAAUAAAAUUGUUUGCAUACUAUUUAAGUAUGGAUAGUACACUACUGAGAAACAGCAGUUCCUCUGAUAAGAACACCUUUUGGGGAAAAAAUUAUUGAGCCUAGCAUGUAGCAGACAAAGAAAAAGUAUAACUGAACCCUGUUGGCUAACAUAUGAUUAUGCACAUCAGUGAUACAUAAAGGACAAAGGAGUUCAGAGAAAAGGGACGGAAUGUACCUGACUCUAAUUUUAUAUUCAGGAAAAGAGGGCAACUUCAUUCCAUCCAAUGCUGCACAAAGAAUCGGCCCUUCUUCUUCAAAAUGUCUAUCAGCCCUCCGGCUAACAACUAUUCCGGUUUCCUCAUCCAGCGUAGCAAAGUUUGACUGGUAUUGAAAAUUGAAAAGGUAAAACAUAUGCCAAAGAUAACACUUUCACCUCAUAUACAAAGAGAAGUACCAAAAAGUGAAGUGAAAUUUAAAUCACAGAAUAGGCUCAAUGGUUAGCAAAUGACAGUGUUGUGCAUCUAUCUUGGUAUUCAUCUUAGAGUAGAUGACAACAAUUUCUCAGACCAAUAACCCACUCCCAAUUAACGUCUCAGAUAUUGUUCCCUCUCUCAAACUCGAUAAUAGAGAAAAGGCAGAAUACAUGAUAAUAUUUGAGAAUCCCUGUGUUUACUCAACCAAAACUCAAUGUGCGGAUAAGAUAGCCAAGCAGGAUAUACAGUUAUUGCUUGUAGUUCAAAGAACAAUGACAGUGAGCAAGCUUGCUGUUUACUCAGUAUGGUGUGUCCUGCGGUUCUUUUUGUUCUGUGUACCAGAGAAAUCCUUCUUUUUUUUUCCUUCAGAGUUCAGGGGCAGUUAGUUAACACCUAUGUUUUGACCCACUUAUCAUGAAUUCAUUUUGUAUAAAAGAAGUUCCUUUAUGAAAGCUAAGCCUCACUCUUAUGUCUACUUAUGUUUAAACUCAUGUGUUGGAAACUAAGGUCCUCGCAAUUCCUUCGUUUUUUACGAUUAUGUAAUGCUAUUUGAUUCAUGUAGAGUUGGUCAGCUCAUACUACCAUACAUAUAUAACACCUCUAAGAGACAAGGAAAGAUUCAUACCUUAAAUGCAAUAUCUCCUGGUGACAUUGCCAACCCAGCACCCAUCGACUCAAAUGCACCCCGACCUCGAUAGUAUACCCUAGGGUCAUAUCCAAGUAGAGAAAGAUGCGCGGUAUCACUUCCACAACCUAGGCCAACUUCAACAGGAUCCAUCAGACCAUUAACUCCAGCAGAUGCUAUAGCAUCCAAAUUUGGUAUUUUUGCCAAUUGAAGUGGGGUUCUAUAACCAAAUCUUGGGAGAGAUACAUCUCCUACACCAUCAAUAAGCACAAAAGCAACUCUUCUCUUUGGCUGCUCCAAGUUAACCAUACUUCCUCACAACUAAGGCUUAUUAACUAUCAGGGCUGAAUGCCUCAAAACUCAUAAAUAUCCAAACCUGUAAGUAAUAUAUAUAAGGAAUCAAAUUGAAUUUAAGUAACAUAUUUAUGAAUUUUGCGUAGACAAACAAGAAUCAACAACAAUAUUGAAAUUUCAACAAAAAAAUAAUAUAUUGCGCCAAAUUGAAUCACAAAUCUAUUUGUAGAACUGCAAGAAUCGAUCAAUUGUUGUAUUAAACCUACUGGUCAACUUACAAUGUCUAUGAUCUAUCGGGCGCAGAGCAUUUCACAACACAAAAGAUUGGCUGAUACACUGGGACUGGGAGUGAAGAUUUGGAGAGAGACAAGGCGGAGGCCUGAGGAAAAUGGAAGCUCGAGCGGUUAAGGGGUUUUCUAUAUGGAAAGGGGGAUUUUUUAAGAAUAAAAAUAAUUUCUAAAAUUUGUUAUUCACUUGUUAAGUAUUAUAUUUUUUUAAAAAUAGUUACUAUAAUAUAUUAAUAUUAACUUAAUAUUGCAGUACACAAUUUUAUUUGUUGUAGCAUUAUUGUUGGUGUAAUAUACCACAAAUAAUAUAAAGAAGGAGAAAUUAUGCAUAUAAGCAAACAUAUACUAGUUAAUUAGUUAAUAUAGCUAUAGUUUGCCUUAAUUAUAAUUUGUGACCAACUUUUAGCUAUAAGUACACGGCUCAGCUUUUUAGUUUUGUAUAAUUCGCACGCUUGUAUAAUUCGAAAUUUGUAUAAUAUAAUUUGUAUAACUUUUGUAUAAUCGUUUACACUUCAGAUGUUUGUAAUUGUAUAAAUUCGUUAUUUCGAGUUUAUACAAAAAUAACUAAAUUAUACAAAUGUACUCGUGAAUUAUACAAACCUGUGAACUAUACAAGUGAGGCAGCUUAAACUGUAGUUACAGCCCGUAAAUAUGCAAACUAUAGCUAUGAAGCAUAAUUAAGUUUGUUAUAGUAACUAUUUGCGAAAGUUCCCCUAUAAAUUACAGUUGAAAUGAAUAAACAAAUCUUUAGGCUGAAGCGCGAAUAUCUCACUCUCUUUAAGGAGAUUCAAACCCACUGCAGCAUAAUCUACACCGAUCUAGCAGUAUCACUCUUGACUUGUCCCCUCCAGGAUACAACAGCUCAACAAUGUGUACAACUCAAACAACUCCAAAUUAGUUUAAGAGUCCAAAACUCCACAACAGAAACACUUUCCCUCAACAAAUUACUCUAAUUUGUAUAGUAAAUAUAGUUGAAGACUUAAAAUAUUUUCUUUGUCUCAACUCUCUCUUUCACUACACUAACUCAAUAUACACAAUAUAAUACUACUCAUCUUUUUCACUCUAUAUUUUCUUGUACAUCUCUUCCUUCUUCUUCCUAACACAAAGGAAGACCACACUAUUUAUAGGUGAUGAAUUUUUCUUUGUAAUGAAUAGGAAGAUAAUAGGUAGUAAAUUUGCCAAAUGAAUGGCUCAAAUGUUCCAUAAGUUACAAGACAUAAAGAUAGAAUAAUGGGUGAAACGAAGAGUUGAUGGUUACAUAAGUUACUAAAAACUAUUGAUCACUUUCUUCACAAUUGAUGAGAGUAAAAAGGCACAAAUGUAAUGUCCACCAAUAGACAUAACAUGAUAUAUAAUGUGACAUUUAAUAUAUUUUAUUAAUAUUAAAAUAUCACAUCAACAAUUAUAAUAUUAACGAUUCUGACCUAGGCUCUUCAUACUUAGAGCUCGAACUCAACACCUCUAAUUAACGGUGAAGUAGUCACUUAACUAGUUUAAGAAGGAACAACAUUUCUGACAAUUCUAACCCAAAAAAAAAAAACAUUUCUGACAAUUGCCAACUGACAAGGUUUACUUGAUAAGCAAAGAUUAAAGAUUAUAAAGCAAAGAUUCUCAAUAAUUGUCUAGUGGAUAUAAUUCAUAUACACACUGUUCUCACAUCAUUUAUUUAGAAAUAUUAAAGAAUAUCAACAAAGAAAAUAUUGCGCAAACUAAUGACAAACAAGUAACAGAACAGUCAUCAGGAUUAAGCAGAUUGAAACAAGAUGUUGACAACAUAAUGAUAAACAAAUAAAAAAAAAACACAAAUAAAACUUGGGUAUGAAAAGUAAAACACUUUUUAAUGAUAAAAGGAAAAAAUGUCUGAAAAAUACUCUAACUUUGGCCAAAAUUGAUGUUAUGAUAUCGAACUUUAUGGAGGACCUUUUACCCCAUGUACUAUUUAAUAAUGUAUUUUAAAGAUAUAUAUUUGUCCACGUGAACACAUUACUAUUUAAAAUGAUGUAAUAUUUAUGAUGUCCACGUAGGCACAUAUAUACCUUUAAAAUACACUAUUAAAUAGUACAGAGGGUAAAAGGUCCUUUCCAAAGUUUGGUAUCGUAACAACAAUUUCGACCAAAGUUGAAGUAUUUUUCAAAUCCUUUUCCAUGAUAAAAUUGAGAGUUUUUAUUCCCUAAACAGAUAAAACACCAAAGAUUCUUGAAUUUGAAAUGGUGAAAUCAAAAGGGUGUUUAAGAAACAAUUAAAACAAAAACAAACAAAAAACACAACAGACAGAAAAAACCACAAAAUCAAGAAUUUGGGCAUGAAAAAUAAUACUUAACUUUUAGGGAAAAAGGUUCGAAAUAUAUCCGAACUUUGACUGAAAUUGUUGUAACAAUCUCAAACUUUAGGCAGGGGGUAAUAGGUACUGCCAGAAGUUUGGUAUUGUUACAGCAAUUUCGGUCAAAAUUCGGAUAUAUUUCAGACCUUUUUUCCCAACUUUUAAAGAUAAAGUUUAGAGCUUUAUACCAUUUUAGAUCAAUAAACACAACAAACUCCAAUAGAUUCUUGAAAUUCAUAUGGUGAAAUCAAAAGGUAUUCUACAUUUCUUUUUAUCAAUAGGUGUUACAAAUAAGAAGUUUAUACUUAAUGAAAAAAUAAGAAUAACUAUAUAUAUUUACCUAUUGAUACAUUAACAUUUGGUAAGACUUUCAUCUCAACAUUUCUAUCUGAAUCUCUCUCAAGGACAUGCAAAAUUCAUAUAUUAUAUUGAAGUUUAGUUCUUUUUUUUUUUCUAUUUGUGAUUCUUCUGGUCUCACACACAAAAAAAAGAUGACUUUUCAAAGGUUCUUGGAUGUUCACUCUGCCACUAAUGAUUUAGGUUUUGUAUUUUUCGAUAACUAAUAGAACUAAAUUUAAAAUAAAAACUUUAUAUAUCUAUUCAACUAAAUAUAGAAAUCGGAGAAAAAAUAUUAAAGAUCAAGAGAAAUCGAGAAAAAAAACAUAGAAAGACUAAAACUUUGUAAAUCAAAUCUAAAAAUUGAAGAGAAAGAUAAAGGAAUUACAAAUUAUUAACUUGUAGUAGAAGAGUAGUAUGGAAUAUGAGAUGAAUGAUGAAGGUGAGUGGAAGAUGGUAUUGGAUGCAACUCACAAUAAGAGGUGGAAUAAAGGGCAACAAAAGGAAAUGACAAAAAUGCCCUUAAUAUUUAGGGUUUUUAUAUAAAAAAUUUUAAAUAAAAAUAAUUUAUAAUAUUAUUUACUUGUUAAUAUUUUUACAAAAAUAGUUUUAAUAUUACAUUAGUACUAAUUAUAUGGUGAUCCUAUUAGCUUAAUGUUUUGGUAUACUUUUAUUUGUUAUCAUAUUGUGAUAUUAUUUUGAUAGCUAUAAUCAACUAGGUAUCGAUUUUACCAUUGAUAAUUUGAUUUAUCAUAUUUGAGAUCUAUUAUUUGUAAUUAUUUAAAAAUAUUUUUAAAUAAAUAAGUAGAAUUUUAUAUCAAAAUUACUAGAUAAUUUUAUAUAUGUAGAAUUUGUGGACAUUUAAAUUUCUUUUCAAUCAUAAAUUGGAGUAUUAAUUACUUCUUAAAUGGUUGUUGAAAGGAGAGCAGUGAUAAAGUAUAUUCCAAAAAUGUAAUAAGAUCAUGACAAUUUUGUUAUAAUAUAUGAUAGCUUAUGUAUUGAUAUUGAAUGGUUAAUUUUUAAUUUGAUUUGAAAUUUUUUUUAUUUUUAAUUAGAAUUAAAGAAAAAAUAUUCUUAAAAAGAGAUCUCAAAAUAUCAUAAUUAAAUGGUUAUGAAAAAAUUGUUUUAAUCAAAAGUUAUUUACUAAUCACAUCACAUGAUCCAUUCCAUCCUUACAUUAACUUUUUAUUACAUUUAUCACAUAAAAUACUACUUAUCCAGUGUUGGGUUUCAUGUGCUUUUAUCAAGUUAUUCUUUUAUUUUUUUUAAUUUAUGUAAUUUGAUUUAUAAUUAUUAGGUUUUUGAAAGUGUCCAUAUNNNNNNNNNNNNNNNNNNNNNNNNNNNNNNNNNNNNNNNNNNNNNNNNNNNNNNNNNNNNNNNNNNNNNNNNNNNNNNNNNNNNNNNNNNNNNNNNNNNNNNNNNNNNNNNNNNNNNNNNNNNNNNNNNNNNNNNNNNNNNNNNNNNNNNNNNNNNNNNNNNNNNNNNNNNNNNNNNNNNNNNNNNNNNNNNNNNNNNNNNNNNNNNNNNNNNNNNNNNNNNNNNNNNNNNNNNNNNNNNNNNNNNNNNNNNNNNNNNNNNNNNNNNNNNNNNNNNNNNNNNNNNNNNNNNNNNNNNNNNNNNNNNNNNNNNNNNNNNNNNNNNNNNNNNNNNNNNNNNNNNNNNNNNNNNNNNNNNNNNNNNNNNNNNNNNNNNNNNNNNNNNNNNNNNNNNNNNNNNNNNNNNNNNNNNNNNNNNNNNNNNNNNNNNNNNNNNNNNNNNNNNNNNNNNNNNNNNNNNNNNNNNNNNNNNNNNNNNNNNNNNNNNNNNNNNNNNNNNNNNNNNNNNNNNNNNNNNNNNNNNNNNNNNNNNNNNNNNNNNNNNNNNNNNNNNNNNNNNNNNNNNNNNNNNNNNNNNNNNNNNNNNNNNNNNNNNNNNNNNNNNNNNNNNNNNNNNNNNNNNNNNNNNNNNNNNNNNNNNNNNNNNNNNNNNNNNNNNNNNNNNNNNNNNNNNNNNNNNNNNNNNNNNNNNNNNNNNNNNNNNNNNNNNNNNNNNNNNNNNNNNNNNNNNNNNNNNNNNNNNNNNNNNNNNNNNNNNNNNNNNNNNNNNNNNNNNNNNNNNNNNNNNNNNNNNNNNNNNNNNNNNNNNNNNNNNNNNNNNNNNNNNNNNNNNNNNNNNNNNNNNNNNNNNNNNNNNNNNNNNNNNNNNNNNNNNNNNNNNNNNNNNNNNNNNNNNNNNNNNNNNNNNNNNNNNNNNNNNNNNNNNNNNNNNNNNNNNNNNNNNNNNNNNNNNNNNNNNNNNNNNNNNNNNNNNNNNNNNNNNNNNNNNNNNNNNNNNNNNNNNNNNNNNNNNNNNNNNNNNNNNNNNNNNNNNNNNNNNNNNNNNNNNNNNNNNNNNNNNNNNNNNNNNNNNNNNNNNNNNNNNNNNNNNNNNNNNNNNNNNNNNNNNNNNNNNNNNNNNNNNNNNNNNNNNNNNNNNNNNNNNNNNNNNNNNNNNNNNNNNNNNNNNNNNNNNNNNNNNNNNNNNNNNNNNNNNNNNNNNNNNNNNNNNNNNNNNNNNNNNNNNNNNNNNNNNNNNNNNNNNNNNNNNNNNNNNNNNNGUGUAUAAGUUUAGAAUAAAUCUAAAAAAAAUGGAGUUUGAAAAUAUUAAAACUAAUAAUUAUGAACAUAUGAAAAAGACAGAGAAAAUUUAAGAAUAAAAGGUAAUAUAUAUAUAUAUAUAUAUAUAUAUCUUCAAAUAUAAAAAUAACGAGACUUAUUUUGAAGAUAUACAUACUUGUCUUCUAUUUAUCUAUAUGAUAAAAGGAGGGUAAUUUGCAAUGUGGUUAAAUUAAGUGGAAGCUAUUGAAAAGCCAUUUGAUAAUUUAAAAAAAAAUAAAAAAUAUUGUAAUAAAUUUUUUGAACUGUUAAUUUUGAAUUAAAAUAUAUGUAGAAAUGAUGGUAUGCUAUCAAACUCUUAUUUUUUUCUUAAUGGAGUUCUAAAUGAACUCUUUUAAAAAUAUUUAUCGUGUAUAUAUAGAUUGCUUUUUAACCAAAUAUAUUUGUUAAGUUUGAAAUUAAAAUAUAAUAUCAUCUCAAAGAUAAACUUAGACAUUUUAAAAAAUAAAAAUGAUUAGAUGUAUUCUAACUCACAAAAACAUAUAAAUUCACCCAAAUUUCAUGUACUAACAGAAGAUAUAAAUCAGAGUUCUAAGUAGUAUUUCUUCGAGGAAAAUCCUAUUUUUGUAUACUAAUUUCAAUAAUAAAUACAAAAAUAUAUAGAUUAAUCAUGUAUUAAAUUGUAUGUUCAUGAUUGCAUUUUAUAGUAAUUUUAUUUUUUUAUUUAUUACUCUUGUUUUGGCGCAAAGUUUAAGACAAUAAAGAUUUUUUUUUAAUAUUGUAAUUUUAAAUCAAACAUAUGUCAAAUAUAUCAAAAAUCCUUUAAUUUUGUGUCUUAUACAUGUCAUGUGAAAAAUUGGAAUUAAGAAGUUGCUAAAAAUAAAUUAUAAUUUUUUUUUUAAAAAAAAGGGACUAAGAAAAAAGUAGGACAAAUAAGUUGAAACAAAAUGGAGUAUUUGAUUUUUGUGUAAGGUAAAAUAACCAAAACUAAAGAUUUGUCUUGAAAAAGUUCAACAAAAUGUAUUGUAAAACUAAAAGUGUACCUUAUUAUAUCUAUAGAAUAAUAUUUUGAUAUUAUAAUAUAAUCAGGGGUGUUCACAGUUCGAUUUGAAUCGGUUAUUGGUUAAAUUCAAAAUCCAAUAAAUUUAGUCAGUUUUUAAAUUUCCAAAAUCAAAUAAAAAAAUAAUCAUCAGUCUAGUUAUUGUCGGUUUGAUUCAAUUUCGUUCGAUUUUUUUAUUUUAAUUUUCAGUUUGAAAGUAAUAAGUUUGUUAAGGGCAUAGACAUUUCGAUAGACACAUACACCUUGUACAUGAACAAUCCACAGAAAAGUUAAUGUAGAUUCAAUUAAGCACUUAAGCAAUACUAGAGCUAUUAUUACAUGAACAAAGUGAUUCAAUUAAGAGAAAGUGUUAAGACUAAAGUAAUGAAUUUUGAUGGACUUGGACUUAAGAUUUUAAAAGUUGGGCUAAAAUUUUAAGUGUUUGGAUUGAGAAAAUGAUAAAGCAAAAGACUUAGGCUAAUUAAAUUUAGCAAAAUACUUAUAUUUUAUUUAUGAAGGAUAAUCAUAAAAUUUUUAUAUAUAAUUUCUCGGUUCGAUUUGGUUAUUUUUACGAUUAUUUUUAGUAAAAUCAAAACCAAAUCAAAUAGUAUCAAUUUUCAAAAUUUAAAAUCAAACCAAACCAAAUAUUAAUUUUUUUAUUGAUUUGACUUGGAUUUUGGUUCGAUUUGAUUUUUUAACCAUAACCAUGAACAUCCCUGAUUAUAACAAAGAAAGUUGUGUACUAAUAAUACUAAUUUAACAUACUCAAAUAAGUACAUUAAUAAGUUUUUAUAAGUAAUAUUUACCUUUACAAGUAAAUAAUAAAUAUUAGUUAAUUUUAAUUGAAAACUUUUUAUAAUAAUACUAAAUUAACAUGCUCAAAUAAAUACAACCACAGUAUUAAAAUUGACUCAUAUUUUAAAAUCGUAAAUUGGUCCACAGUUAAUCAGAUGUGCGAAGAAAAAAUAAUAAUAAAACUUGAUUGGAUCUUUAUCUGAAAGAGGGGAAUCUUAGUAGUUCAGUUGGGUGACUAUCUGAACUCUCACCACCUUAUUGGUGAGAGUUCGAUUCUCCAUAUUGUAAUCCUCUCUCCAUUUUUCCUACCCCUAGGGGUGUCGAACCAAACCGCAAACCGAGUCAAACCGGAAAAAAAAAUUCGACUAGUGGUUGGUUUGACUUGGUUUGGUGUUGGAAAAAAAAUCCGACUAUAUUUGGGUUGGUUUGAUUUUAACUAAAAAAAACCAACCCGACAUUAUAUAUAUAAUUUUAAAAUUUUAUUUUAUACAUGAAAAUAUUUACUUUGAUAUAAUUUUUAAAUAUUUCUUAUACUUUUUCAUAGUUUUUAUCUUUUAAUAUAUUAUUUCAAGUUUGAAACUUAGAAUUUUGAAUGGUUCCAUAAAGAUUAUAGUCCAUAGAUGUUGGUAAUUAUAAUAAAAUUUAAAUUAAAAUCAAAUUAAUACUAAUACAAAAAGAAAAUUAAUUUAACACUAAGAAUGACAAUAAUAUUGAAUAUUUGUUCUUUGGUUUUACAUUGGUUUAGACAAUUAAAGUACAUAAUCUAAUUUUAAUUUCCUUUAAUAUUUAGUCAUGUAACUAAUACUUAUUAAACUUAAUUUAGCAUGAUUUAGUACUUUUAAAUUAUGAUCAUUUUCAUUAUGACUUGUUAAUUUGCAAUAUUUGUUUUAAAUGAUUUUAUUAUUAUUAUUAUUAUUUUUUGGAUAUUUUAGUGUCAUUAAUCAUAUCAUUGUUUGUGUUGUAUUCUUAAGAAACACCUUAGAUAGUUGUAUUUUGGUAGGACUGAAGAAAUAUUUGAAGUACAAGUAAAUUAUAUGUUUGUAUGAAUUGAAUACUUUAGCGGAAAAACCCGAAAACCCGAAAAAAUCCAAAAAAACCUAAGGUUGAAAAAUUCGAGUUUUAUUGGUUUGAUUUAUAGAUUUAAAAAUUCGACACAAAUGAUUUGAUUUGAUAUUUAAAAAAUCCGAACCAACCCGACCAUGUACACCCCUACCUACCCUCAAUUUUGCCCCAAGACUUGGGCUGUCCCUCAAUUAAAUCUAGAAUCAAAUGUUCCUAGGCCCUAGAUGGAAAAGCCAAGGGUUGCAACAACCUUGAAUAGGAGUACAUGUCCCCCCUUGUGUUUUUGACAAACAUCACAAGCAUGUACCCAUUCUUUGACAUCUUUAAGCAAAAACUAAGCCAAUUGAAAAUUAUUCUUACUCUAAUACAUUUUACUAGAGUUGGACACACAAAAAUCAGAAGUUAUGUACAAUUUACUAAAGUUGAACACAAAAUUUUUUAUAAAUGUUUGGAGAAAAUAGGGGGUGCAAUGCAUUGGCCAUCACACCCAACUUCAAUGUGAUGAACGACGUGACACUCAUUGCUUUCAUGUUGGACGUCGUGGAGAUCACGUCGCAACUUAAGGGAAUCUAGAAAUAAGAAUUUUAUCCAAGUGUAGGAACACAGUGGAGUGAUAUAUUAGACGUAUUUACACGUCUUUUCACUGCACAUAUGUAAUUUAUUUUUAUAUGAAUUCGUAGCAAAUACACGUUAUUUAUGUUAAUGGUGAGAUAUUCGACUAAUUUUGGCUAUUUCUACAACGUAGGUGUUUUUGGAGAGUUGAAAACCCUUGGAGAAUUUUGUCCAAGUCCUAGAAGCAAAAGCCAUUGUAAUCAAUGUAGUGAUCAUAGCUAAAAAAAUAAAUUGAGUCAUGAAUGCAAAUUAAUUUAUGUAAAGAAAUAUCUAUGGAUUUUUACGUAGAUUUUACUUCUUAUAUUUCUUAUAAACUUUUCACCUAACUAAACCUUAUAGAUAUUUAGAUAGUCUUUAUAUAAUUCAAAGACAUUAUAAUCAUCUCAUUAAAAGGGUGAUAAAUGAUUAUAUGUUGGUAAAAAAUGAAAAAUAAAAACGAUUAAGUUUCUUGAAAUAGAAAAGUGAACCAAAUCAAGGACAACUAAAUCGCUAAAUAUAUAUUAUAUAAUUUGAUUUGAUAUAGUAAAUCACCCUUGUAUUUAUAUCACAAAGAUAGAGAUAAAAUUUACGUAUGUAGUUGGUGAUACUUAAAACCGAAUCCAACAGGUACUACAUCAAUAGUGCUUGCUAUUUUCUGUCUUUUAGCUGAUUUGGAGUUUAAUAGAUAAUUAGUAUUAACGAUUAGUUAAAUAUAUCAUGAAAGCCGUCUUAGCUCAGUGGUAGAGCGCGUGGCUUUUAACCACGUGGUCGUGGGUUCGAUCCCCACAGACGGCGGGAUUUUUUAUUUUAUUUUUUGGUUUUUUCGUCUUUUUUUUUUAAUAUAUUUAUUUCCUUUCUGGGUCUUUCUUUUCCUUUUAGUUCCUUUUGCUUCUUUAUAAAAUUUAGAAUCACCAUUUUUGUUAAUCAUCAAAAUAAUUUUAAACUGUUUUUUUUUUUUUUUGUGUGUAUUUGGUCCUCCUUUUGUUUCCUUUUUCUUCUUCUUUAAAUUUAGAAUCACUAUUUUUUUUAAAUAGAAAAGGUAUAUGAGGAGGAGUGAUCAUAAAUAGCUAUAGUUUAGAUCAUAAUUAUAAAUAGUAUAGUUAUGCUUUAUCGAAUUAUAAGCCAUAGCAACAAUACUCAACUAUAAGAAUUUAUCUAGCAAAGUCAUUGAAUUUUAUUUUGUAUAAAAAAAAAUCACUCAAUUUAGACUUUUGUAUCAAUAAAAUCACUCAACUUAAAUCGUUGUAUCAAUAAAAUCAAGAGUGAAUUUAUAAAUUCCAUUCUUUUAAGUAUAGUGCCAGAUAACGUAACUCAUUCAAUGAAAUCUUUGACUUGUCAAAUUUUGCAAAAUAAAUAUUACUUCAUCCAGAAUUGGAGUAAUAUUAUAAAUUUUCUUUACUUAAUCCCGUGAAUUUGUUGUUCACGUAAGUCAUCUAUUAAAUAAUUAGUUCAACUAAAAUGCGUUGGGAUUAAAAUUAAGAAUAACAUAUAAGAGCUUUAUUUGGCUUGUCUUGGCGAUGAUCUUUGUUGAUUGAGUUACAAUCCCGUCAUAGAUUGUCAAAUUAUUAACUUGAAUAGUCCUUAAUUAGUAUGAAUUGAGCAAUUUUGAUUUUUAUAUUUAUUAAAAGUUAAUACAUUUAGUUAGUUCAUUAGCUUUGACGAGAAUUAUGAGCAAAAAGGAAGAUGAAGGGAAUUCACGUUUAGAGGUAUAUUAUGGUAGACACGUUAAAAAAAUAUUAAGAGUGAUUCUGUUGAUAAAAAAAAUCUGAUUUUAUUGAUACAAAAUAAAAUUCACUAAUUUUACUAGAUAAAUUCUCAAAGUUGAGUGACCUUUUGAGAUAUUAACUCCAACUUUAAAUAGGAGGGACAAAUAAAGGCGAGCAACCCCAUCCAACCUCUAUAUUGAUGCAACAUGUGUUUAUGCAUCUCUCUCAAAAGCACAAAUUUUAGGUCGCAUAUGUAUAAAACCUUGGCUCAAAAUUACAAACUUAUCAGAAUCAAGCUAUCAUCACAUCAAAAUGAUAGUAAUCAAACUGACAACAGACUAAAAGAAUUCAACAUCCUAAUGCCAACUUAAAUCAAAACUAACAAAAGGUGGAAAUACCAUCUCAGCACAAGUGCACGACAGAGCAUUAUCGCAGCAGCGGCCAACCAGCAUUAUAAUGAAUAAAUGGAUUACAAAAGUUGCAACAGAACCAAGGAGAAACAUACAAAGUCAAAGAAAGAACAAUACAGUAACAAUUGUUGAUUCGUACCAGCCCCAAAAGCUACUUAUGGUAUGAGUUCCACACACAAACAUCACAAAAUAAGAUCAAAACCACAUAAUGUCUACAAGUUGACAAGCCUUUCAAAUAGAGUUUAACAACAGACCAAUAUCACGUCUUAGCCGACCUCCUGUCCCAACAAAUAUUAACAUUUCUCUUCGACAAAGUAAAGAGAACAUCCAAUGUUGUACUAGAGAUGUUUAUUUAGUUGGCGCGGCUUUUGAAAACAUCCAGACCCAUCUCAGUAGGAUCAGUUGCUUGCAGCUCAAUCUGAAUUCCAUCCAGCUCCCUCUUAAAUCUAUCCUUGGAACUAGCAUAGAUCAUUUUGCUUCUAACCUUAGAGGUAUCGGGACACCUAUGCAAAACACACCGAACAUAAACAAAUAUGAAUAGUUAGUGAGCACACUCCAAAGACGAGCAAUAAAAGUAUAUAUUUUUUUGCGAUAACUACAGGCAAUACAAGUAUAUAAAUACUUGAUUAUACUAAGAACGAAGCCAAUCAUUCGACAAUACCAUGCAAUAAAGAAAAUCCUGCUCUUUGGGACACUCUCCUUUGUCAGAAAGUCAAAAUCAUACACUGCAUAACGACACUCAUCUGCAGGCAGGUGUGUACAGAAGUCCUCAUAACUUUCAGCUGGCUCACCAAGCUUUUCCACAAUGAUUUGCUUUUCCUCGAUCUUGAAUACUAUGAAGCGGAAAGCCCUUUUAGUUUUCAACUCCAAAAAUUUCAGUUUGCAAUCGUCGUGCACAGCCAUGCCUGAUGCAGCGUUAGCCUACAAAGAAAAUCCAAGGUGAAUAAAGUUUCUUCAUAACAUUACAACAAACUAGAAGCAAAUUAUUCUAUAGAUACUUGUACAAUGUACAUAUAUAUGUUAAAACUUAAAACAACUAACCAAUACAUGUGAACGACUCCAACUAUAUCAAAGCAUAGCAGGUUGACAACCAAUAUAACAGUUAAACCAUGAUUAAUAUUCUGAAUACUACAAUAGCUUGAAUAAAGUAGAUAUAGAUAUAAGAAAUCAUGUAUACGAUCCCAAUAAGGUUUAGUAGUGUUGGCAUUGAUUGAUUCACCCAAUAUCAAUGAAGAUGUUUCAUGCCUUUUUGUUCAUGGAACUGACAACAAUGAAUUAAAAUUUAAAAAAUGAGGCAAGUAAAAUGCACAAGAGAUUUAAUUUAAAAAAUUUUAAACAAACAAGAAAAUACACUCUUUUUAUAGUUAAGAAAAUACACAUCAUUUCUACUUGUAUUUGAUAAAUGAAUAUGCACUAGCCCAAUGUGAGCCAUCGUGCUUUGAAGCUAUUUUUUUUUAAAACCAACAUGGCAAUACGAGGAUGAUCCCUAUUUAGCAGUAAAAAAGUCAUAAUGUGUGCAGGAAAUUAUCGAAUGGACUUGAUAUGAGGUAGCUGGAAAAUUUGCUUCACAACUAAAAUAACUUAGCACUCCAUUAUUUCAAAGGGCACUAGGUCUCAGCUUGGCAGGAAGAAUGGCAUGGAACAGAAGCCACAUACAGCUUGGAAAUGAAACAUAAACUAUAAAUUAAAGUACAGAAAAUUUUAAUUAGUCGUUCUUUAAAUUGAAUACCACACAUUGACCACAAUUUUUCGAGAGAAUGAAUUUCAAGUUCCUAAACAUAUGUGCUUUCUGGAAAAAUCUCAACUCUGUAUAUAUCUACUCCAUACUUUUGAAAAAGUUCAACUCCAUACAUACACAACAAAUACGCAUCAGGUAUACUCCUACAUGGACAUCCUAACAACCUGGAUUAAAUUCAAACUAUAGCAAAAAAGAUGUCAACAACCAAAUGUUCAUGGAUCAAACCAAUAAUACAUACUCCAUUUUCAGAAAAAACAUCCCCAACAACCAAAUGUUCAUGGAUCAAACCAGUAAACAACACUCCAUUUUAACACAAAAUGACCUCAACAACCAAAUGCUCAUGGAUCAAACCAGUAAAUCAGAGUCCAUUUUUUUAGACAAAAAGUUCUCAACAACCAACUGCUUAUGGAUCAAACCAGUAAAACAGACUCCAUUUUUUUUUAUAAAAAGUCCUCAACAAUCAAAUGUUCAUUGGAUCAAAUCAGUAAAACAGACUCCGCUUUUCGACAAAAAGUAGUCAACAACCAAAUGCUCAUCGAUCAAAUCAGUAAAACAAACUCCAUUUUUUAGACCUCAACAACCAAAUGCUCAUGGAUCAAACCAGUAAAACAAUCUCAAAUCCCAUGGAUUGAACUACAUCGAAUCCGAUCCAUCCUCAUUAAACCAAAACCUAGGGUUUCCGACACACGAAACACACAGAUUCACAGAUCAAAUCGCCAAAAAAAAAGAUCAGCACACAAAUAAAGUACAACAGACUAACUAAAACAAAACAAAACCAGUAGAUAUACUCAACGAUUCUUCUCGUUCUAAGUUGAAUUACUAUCACAACACAGCAAAAAGGAACAAUCAAAACAGCAUAAAUCAACAAAAAGUAAGUCUUACCAUGAUGAAUCCGAAGGAUCUGAGCUGAUAUUUUUUGAACUUUUUUGUGUAUGUAGAUGUAGAGAGAGAGAGAGAGCUAGGGGAGCGUUGAGGACUAGAAGAAGACUUGUAGAGAUAACAAAGGCAAUUUGUCUGAAGAAUCCCGAAUUCUACCCUUGCUAUUCGGUGGAUACCACCCACCCCUACUUUUACCCCUGACCCUACUAAAUAUCAUGAUGGCGGUCAUACUUUGAAGCUACAAAUAGUUGUGCCAAUUAUUACACGCCACGUGCAACGUUGAAUUGACUGGAAUACCCCCUUUAGACUCAUUCAUGCAUUUGUUUGUCCAAAUUGAGUUUAAAAAAAUAUUUGUUCCCUCCAACUAGCGGUGUUCACGGUUUGGAUAAAAAUCGAUCCAAAUCGAAAAACCAAAUCAAACCGAUAAAAUAAAAUCGAUUUUAUUUGGGUUUGGUUUGGUUUGGUUUUAGAUUUUUGAAAACCGGUAGCAUUUGGUUUGGUUAUGGUUUUAUUCAAAAAAAAUGAAGAAAUAACCGAACCGAACAGAUGAAUUAUAUACAUAUAAUUUAUUAAUAUACAUACUUAAUAUAUUGUUUUUAUAAACAAUUUUAAAGCUCUUAUAUAUGUUUUCAUUAAAAUUUCUUUAUACUUUACUUAUUGAAAGCAAGAAUCCCCAAGGUGAAAACAUUUAUCUUAUUGAUUUUCAUGUAUAUGAGUGUCUAUGACAAUCUUUGUGGGACUGAAAAUGUUAUGGUCUCUUCAUUCUAGGCCUAUAUAGUGAAUUUUAAAGCUUUAUUGAUAGUAAAUUCAAUGAUCGAAAGUUCGGUAAUUUAAGUUAUUCUAACUAUUUUUUGUUUUGAAUGAAUUGUUGUCAUUUUUUUCACAUUUUGAAUGAAUUGUUUCUUUUAUUUUGUGUAUGAUUAAUAACCAAAUAACCAAACCAAACCAAACCGAAACCGAUAACCAAUAAAUCGAUAAAUGUAUAUUAUAUUUGGUUUGGUUUGGUUUUGAUAAUUUUAAAACCGAUUAAGUUGGUUUGGUUUUGGUUUUGACCAAUAACCGAUCCAAACCGACCCGUGAACACCCCUACCUCCAACAAUAGUUGUUCACUAUACUAUUUUGGGAUGUACAAUAAUAUUUAUACACGGUAUAAAAUUAAUGAAUAAUUUUAUACUUAGUUCCUUAUUUACCCUUAUCAUUAAUUAUAAUCAUUUUCCUAUUACAUUUUUCAAUACAUUGUAUGUAUUAUAUUCAAUGUGUGAUAUGAUAAAAUUAUUCUUCUAUUUAUAAUUUCUCAAGAGGUGUGCAAAAUUAAUAAUGAACAACUAUGUUGGACAAAAGGAGUAAUAAAGGUAUGAUAGAUAAAUGUGUUAUAUUUAGUUUGAUCUUAAUAUUUAUGUUCUUCCAUUUUAAUAAAUAAAUAUGUAUUUAAAUUUAUAUAAGAUUGAAACAAUUUGUUCGAUAUGGCGUUUAAUGUGAUGAUUUGCCUAAGAUACAUUUGUAUGGAUUGGUAUCAUGUUCUAUAUGGCGUAUAAUUAGAUUGAAUCAAUUUUCUCUUUGUAAGCCCAAACUUCUGAACUACCUCACUAAAUUUUCCAAACCAAGCAUGUGGACUUUGUUUUAGACCAUACAAGGAUUUCUUCGAGUGACAAACUUUCUCAUUCCCCCUAAGCAAAAAAAUCAGAUGGUUGCUUCAUAUACACUUCUUCUUGGAGAUCACCACGAAGAAAUGCAUUCUUGAUAUUCAACUGAUGUAACAGUCAAUUCUUAGAAGUAGCUAGAGAAAUAAAUAAGAGAACGGAAAUGAGUUUGGCCACUGGAGAAAAAGUAUCAGAAUAAUCCACCCCAUAAGUCUGAGUAUAUCAUUUAGCCACUAGUCUGGCUUUAAGCCUCACCACAAUACCAUCAGGAUUUACUUUAACUGUAAAAACUCAUUUACAUCCCACUGCCUUUUUCCCUUUUGGUAAGUCCACUAAACCCCAAGUGUAAUUCUCAUCUAAUGCAUGUAUCUCCUCGAGAAUUGCAUCAUACCACCUAGAGUAACUCAAAGCUUCUUGAACUGUUUUGGGCACAACAAUAGAAUCUAGAGAAGCAAUCAAAGAGCAAAAUGCGGGAGACAAAUGGUCAUAUGAGAUAAAAUUAGCAAUGAAAUAUACUAAUUGGCACUGACGCUUACCUUUGCAAAGAGCAAUGGGAAUGUCAAGAUUUUAUGUUGGAGAGGGAUUGAUCGGAGGAUGAUCUGAUGACGAAAGAGUUGGUGUUGGACGUGUAUCAUUGGUCGCUUGUCGCCUGGAAUAAACUUGAAUUAUUGGUGGUUUUAUUUGAGCAGGAGGAACAUCAGAAGAUAUAUUUUCAGUUAACUGCUCAACAUUAUCACAAACUUCUUUAUGGUAUUUUGAGCUCGAUGGAGUGGUCUUAUAAAUGAGUCAUUCUUUUUCUUCCUGCCCCUGAGUGGGAGAAGUGUCUAGAGAAGGAAAAAAGAAAUGUUCUCAGAGAACACCACAUAUAUUGACACCAUAUAUCUGUUAAGGGUUGGAGAGUAGCACUAGUAACCCUUCUGUAAGCGAGAAUAUCCCAAAAACACAUUUCAAAGCCUUUGGAUCUAGUUUAGUAACAUGGGGUCGCACAUCACGAACAUAACAAGUACUUCCAAACACCUUUGGCUCUAGUAAAAAUAAUGGCUUAUUCAAAACGAGGACACCAUAUGGAAUAUCACCAUUAACCACUAUGGAUGGCAUGCGAUUAAUUAAAAAGCUAGUUGUGGAUACCGCAUCCGCCUAAAAUUACUUAGGUACCUUCAUUUGGAAUAGCAAAGCACGAGCAGUCUCAAGAAAAUGUCUAUUUUUCCUCUCAAUUACUUCAUUUUGAGAGGGUGUAUCCAUACACGAAGAUUGAUGAAGAAUACCUUAUUGAUUCAUAUAGUUUUGAAAUGAUGCUGACAUGAAUUCUUUAGCAUUAUCACUCCUCAAUAUAUGUAUAGAAACAUUAAAUUGUGUCUUAAUCUCACCACAAAAAUUAGAGAAAUAGGAGAACACUCCAGAACAAGUUUUCAUAAAGUAAAUCCAUGUCAUUCGGGAAAAAAAACAUCCACAAAAGUAACAAAAUAUUUGAACCCAACUUUAGACACAAUCGGACAUAGUCCCCAAAUAUCUGAAUGAACUAACUCAAAAGCAAAAUCAGCUCGCUUAUUAUUUCUAGGACUUAAUGAGCUUUUAUGGUGUUUUGCAAAAUAAUAAGACUCAUAGUCUAAUGAGGGUACAUUAUGAAACCGAGGACAUAAUUUCUUCAAAAUCGAUAAGGAAGGAUGUCCCAAACGACAAUGUGUUUCAAAUGAUAAAAUGAUACUGGAUCAAGCAACUGAUGGAGGCACCUAUUCAUCAAUAAUGUAGAGACCGUCUGAUACAUUUCCUUUAUCAAUAAUCUACUUCGUCAUAGAUCCUAAAAAAGACAAUAAUCAAGAAAUAAUGAGACAAAACAUUGUAGUUAGUUGGUAAGUUUACUCAAAUAAAUCAGAUUAAAGACAAGACUAAGGAGGCCUAGCACAGAGGACAAAGUAAUAGAUGAAGUGGGGUUAACAGUUCCAUAUCCAUCAAUGGUACAACUAGAUCCAUCAGCUAUGGUAUGAUACUUUAUGUGACCGGAAUAUAGAGAUUAUUUUGGGAUUAACUGUCAUGUGAUCUGUGGCACCCAAAUCAAUGAUCCAGUUGCUUGAGGAGAAAAUAAGACAUUUGUUACCUGACUCAAUAAGGGCAAGGGCUGAAGCGAUUUCAUUCAGUGAUACUUAAUAUUUUGUAAGCCGGGAAUACUCAUCAGUUGGGAUUGUAACAGUUAAGGGUGAACUAGAAGUGGCAACAAUAGUGGCAGUCUGAGUCUGAAGUUGUUGGUUGCGAAUAUGUAAUUUCUUACAAUAACGACAAUUAUUGUCAUUAUUCCAUCUCCCAACAUCAUUGUAUCCUCCUUUGUUAUUGUUCCAUCUUCCAACAUUAUUGUUGUUGUUCCACCUUCCAUCAUCAUUGUUAUGAUUUCACUUUCCUACAUCCUUGUUAUUGUUCCAUCUCCCUACCUCAUUGUUGUUGUUCCAUCUCCAUGCAUCAUUGUCAUUGUUCCAUCUCCAUGCAUUAUUUCUUCCUCCUCCUCCUUUUGCAAUAAGCACAUUGAUCUGCUGGUUGGAUGGAGUACUUUUUGUGCGCAACACCCGACUGAAAACAUCUUUGAGAGAGCUGAUCUCAGAACUGGACAAAAUCUAUGAUUUAGCAGUCUCAAACUCAGAUGGGAGUUCUGCUAAAAAACUCAUUAUCGCCAUUUGUUCUCUCUGAGCCUACUGCACCUUGAUAUUAGUACUGAAUGGUAGAAGUACAUUCAGUUCCUCAUAUGUUUUCUUGAACUCCUUGAAGUAUGUAGUAAGUGACUUAGCUUCUAUCUCAGAACGAUAUAAAGCCUUACAAACUUCAUAAAUCCGAGAUAAAUUACCUUUGCCAGAAUAUAAAUACUCCAAAUAAUCCAUUAACUCUUUCACAAACUCACAGUGAUUAACCAAACCAACUACUUCAUUGGCAAAAGAGUUUAUAAUUUGCAAGAGUAGUCUAGCAUCAUAUCUAAGUCAAGUCUUUUUAGUAUCAUCAGUUGGAGGAUCUUGGAUAAGAUGGUUAUCCUUUUCAACACUAUGCAAGUAGAUCCUGAUUUUCUACUUCAAUCUAAAUAAUUAGACCCAUUUAAUUUAUUAUCAAUAAUUUUGGACAAUGUUGAAACAAUUCCAGUCAUGGCGGAUUUAUCGUCAGACAUUAUACUAAUGUUUAGCCAAGAAAUUGAUCAAGAAGAGCAAAUGAUAAAAAAAUCUGACACCAAAGUGGUUGAAAAGAGCAAAAAAAUCGACACCAAAACUAAACACAAGCAGCCACUGAAGCGCAAAGCAAUUUCUAUUUCUUACGUCACAGAUGUAAAAGAUAAAAAUCGAACCUGAAGGUGAAGAAAUU